rnacentral:lncRNA from 1 species
GGGCACGCGCCGCGAUGGCCUCGGCGGAGCGGGGCUGAGCCCGCCGCCUGCCCGCCCGCGGACCCGCAGCCCCGCAGCCCCCGGCCGCCUCCGGCCCAACCAUGGCGAAGCAGUACGAUGUGCUGUUCCGGCUGCUGCUGAUCGGGGACUCCGGGGUGGGCAAGACCUGCUUGCUUUGCCGCUUCACCGACAACGAGUUCCACUCCUCGCACAUCUCCACCAUCGGUGUUGACUUUAAGAUGAAGACUAUAGAGGUAGAUGGCAUCAAAGUGCGGAUACAGAUCUGGGAAUAUUUUUAGUCUACGACAUUAGCAGUGAGCGCUCCUACCAGCACAUCAUGAAGUGGGUCAGUGAUGUGGAUGAGUAUGCACCAGAAGGUGUUCAGAAGAUCCUUAUAGGAAAUAAGGCCGAUGAGGAGCAGAAACGCCAGGUGGGAAGAGAGCAGGGGCAGCAGGAAUGUUCUUCUCUUGCAGCUGGCUAGAGAGUAUGGCAUGGACUUCUAUGAAACAAGUGCCUGCACCAACCUCAACAUUAAAGAGUCCUUCACGCGCCUGACGGAGCUGGUGCUGCAGGCCCACAGGAAAGAGCUGGAAGGUCUGCGGACGCACGCCAGCCAUGAGUUGGCCUUGGCGGAGCUGGAGGAGGAGGAGGGCAAACCCGAGGGUCCGGUGAACUCUUCGAAAACCUGCUGGUGCUGAGGGUCCCACGUGGAGCACCCGCACAAUCCCCUCUCCCCGCAGGAGGCCUGCGGGCAUACAGGGAGCCUGGGCCUCGCCCUGCUUCUCCUCUCCUUUGGGUGGCCUGUGGCAUCUCAGCCGCUGCUUCUCCCCCUGCCUGGCACCAAGAGCAGCUCCGCUGUCUUGUCUGAACAGCCUUGCCUCCGGCCCUCCACCGGGGUGUCCCCUCCAGCCUGUUUCCCCAGCCACAGGUCUGCUACUGGUCCCGACGUGCCAUGAGCACUGCCUCACUGCCCCAGCUCCCAGGCAAUGGCCGAGUCUGGAGUCAAGGCCUCUGUAAGGCUCCAUCUCUUUCAGUGCAUCUGGUGUCCUCUGCUUUUUCUCGCUUCUUCCCACUUCUCUCUCUCUGUACCCCCGCCUCCUGCUGUGUUCAUAUCAACCUUUCCCACCCCCCGCGCCAUGCCAUGUGGCUGCUAGUGUGGCCCUUCUCCCCACCCCCCCAGCCUUGGCCUAUCCCAGGGAAUGGACUCAGGCUCAGGGGCGAGUUUCCUGCUCUGCUCCAGGGAGAACCUGUGCCCUGCUUGGUGGGCACUUCUUCCUGUCCUCCCCGCCCCACCGCCCUGUCUUGUGCCAUGGGCCUGCCUCCCCAGGCACCGGGGAAAGAGGAAUGUCAAGGGAGGAAGGAAAGCUCAAACUGGUGGUCCCCACGCCUGGGGCUUUCCUGCCUCCUGCCCCCAGCGUCAGCCUUGCUUGGCUGCCUGCCAGCUGCCAUUGGGGAAACUGAGCUUGAGGCAGGUGCUUCUGAGAAGAAAAAAAAUGAUGAGGGGUGGCAGGGACAAAAAGUCACCUCCAUUCUCUACCUCCCAGGCAGCAUGUAUACCAUUUCUACUCCCCUGGGCUCCUGAAUUGAAAGAUGCGGACCAAGCCUGGAGGGCACUGUGGGGGCAAGGAAAGCCUCGGGGCCAACAACAAGCUCCAGAAAGGGGACUGUUUGGUAGUGAAGGACCAGCUCCUAUCUAUCAGGUUAAGAGCCAGGGAGAGCAGGCAGGGUAGCAGUUUGCACACGAGAGGGGAAUUCAGCAACAGGAGGGAUUCCUGGGCCUCCUCUUCCAUUUCUUGUGUGAGAAAGGUGUUUCCCCACCACCCCUGGCAGUGAGAGGUGACAGAACCACCCUGGGGGGCUUUCUCUGAGCCCAGCCUGGGGCUCUCGAGGUUUUCCUGAGAACCAAAGUUUGCGGGACAAGGGCAGGGAGCUCAUGGGAAGAAAGCAAGCGAGCCCUGGGUAGGGAUGCUUGGUGCUGUUCCCUUCAGCCUUCAAGGCAAGUGCCCAUCUUGCCCCUCUGGCUCCUGAGUCAGAGGCUUGAGGUUUGCCAGCUGCACUGUGGCUUCAGGUGGAAGGAAGCAGACUUGCUCCUCCAGGGCCCUUUGUUCAGGAAGAUGUUUCUUUAACCCCAUAUGGUCCAAGAGUAGCUUAAGGAGGCCCUUUAAGGAGGGAAUGAGUCAGUUACCAGCUCUAGGGAGGAGGGUCAGUCUUAAGUGUGUUGCAUGGCUGGAGCUGGAGCUAAAACACAGAACUGAGCAUCCAACACUCAUUGAUUAAGGACCAAAAUCCAGGAUACACACACGUAAAGGAUCAAGAGUCCCACUUCCUUAUUCUGCCGAAGAAAAAAGGUGAGGGAUGAACUCACCGAACCUUUCCUCCUGGUUCUUACCAGAUCAGGAGAGGGUAGCUCAGGGUGUAGGAACGGAGACGGGUCGGCAUGGUGAAAGGAAGAGGAGGGCAGGAAUAGUUAUAAAUCAUCGACUAAUGAGACAUGUAGAGCUGCCUCUUUAGAAUGAAGUCACAACCAUAGCUUAGGAGGCUUCCUUGACAACUGACUCCUCAGGCGUCAAGACAUAUGCAGUCGCACAGAGGGGGGGUGGGGAGGUCAGCAGUGCCAACCCUCGGCGUGCCCUCAGCCAGGGCCUCGAGGAAGGGAAGUUAUCCUGGCCAUCAGCUCCACCUGUGGAUCAGAAUCUCCACUUCCCUCAAGAUCAGGCUGAGCACCAUUGCCUUUCUCUCCCAGCCCCCUCAGGAAAGAGGGGCUGUAUUUUUACUGUAUUCUUGGGUUUUGGAAGGGAAAACUUGAGGCUGGGAUCCUACGGCCUGGUAAGCCCCAUCCACAAGGGCCACAGUCAGGGAGAGGUUGAGGGCAGGAGGGUUGGGAUUUUAGGGUGCAGCUAUGCUCACCAGGUACCAGAGUCAGCUUCUCACCCCUAAACUCCAGUGCAGGAGGUGGCCUGGGACCUGGCCUUUGGCCCAGACUGUUGAGCAGGCACACCUGCCUGUUGGCUCCUCACCACCUGUGCACCUGUUGCCUCGAGACUCAGCCCCAGGCACUCCACCUGCUCUAGAGCCCCACCAUCUCCCUGUGAUGGGUGAACUUGUGUGCUGUGUCUCGGGUCCAGUAUAUAAAUUGUGAGCAGGGUUCAUCUAUUUUAAACACAGAUGUUUACAAAAUAAAGAAUAUUUCAAAUC